UACGGGGGGGGUAAGCGUUGUUCGGAAUUACUGGGCGUAAAGGGCUCGUAGGCGGCUAACUAAGUCAGACGUGAAAUCCCUCAGCUUAACUGGGGAACUGCGUCUGAUACUGGAUGGCUUGAGUGUGGGAGAGGAAUGCGGAAUUCCAGGUGUAGCGGUGAAAUGCGUAGAUAUCUGGAGGAACACCGGUGGCGAAGGCGGCAUUCUGGACCAUAACUGACACUGAGAGACGAAAGCCAGGGGAGCAAACGGG
rnacentral:rRNA from 1 species